UGGCCUACGGGAGGCAGCAGUUGGGAAUAUUGGACAAUGGAGGAAACUCUGAUCCAGUGACGCCGCGUGAAGGAAGAAGGUCUUCGGAUUGUAAACUUAUUUUAUCAGGGAAGAAAAAAAUGACUGUACCUGAAGAAGAAGCACCGGCUAACUACGUGCCAGCAGCCGCGGUAAUACGUAGGUGACAAGCGUUGUCCGGAUUUACUGGGUGUAAAGGGCGCGUAGGCGGGAUAGCAAGUCAGUCGUGAAAUGCCGAGGCUUAACCUCGGAGCUGCGAUUGAAACUGUUAUUCUUGAGUAUCGGAG
rnacentral:rRNA from 1 species